CUACGGGUUGCAGCAGUGAGGAAUAUUGCACAAUGGGGGGAACCCUGAUGCAGCAACGCCGCGUGGAGGAUGACGCAUUUCGGUGUGUAAACUCCUUUUAUAUGUCAAGAAAAUGACGGUAGCAUAUGAAUAAGCACCGGCUAACUCCGUGCCAGCAGCCGCGGUAAUACGGAGGGUGCAAGCGUUAGUCGGAAUCACUGGGCGUAAAGGACGCGUAGGCGGGUUGGAAAGUCAGGUGUGAAAUCCUACAGCUUAACGUUAGAACUGCACUUGAAACUUCUAAUCUAGAGUAUGGGAGGGGGAGAUGGAAUUAGUGGUGUAGGGGUAAAAUCCGUAGAUAUCACUAGGAAUACCUAAAGCGAAGGCGAUCUCCUGGAACAUUACUGACGCUAAGGCGUGAAAGCGUGGGGAGCAAACAGGAUUAGAUACCCCGGUAGUC
rnacentral:rRNA from 1 species